rnacentral:rRNA from 1 species
AAUUUGAAAUCUGGCGUCUUUGGCGUCCGAGUUGUAAUUUGAAGAAGGUAUCUUUGGGCCCGGCUCUUGUCUAUGUUCCUUGGAACAGGACGUCACAGAGGGUGAGAAUCCCGUGCGAUGAGAUGACCCGGGUCUGUGUAAAGUUCCUUCGACGAGUCGAGUUGUUUGGGAAUGCAGCUCUAAGUGGGUGGUAAAUUCCAUCUAAAGCUAAAUAUUGGCGAGAGACCGAUAGCGAACAAGUACAGUGAUGGAAAGAUGAAAAGAACUUUGAAAAGAGAGUGAAAAAGUACGUGAAAUUGUUGAAAGGGAAGGGCUUGAGAUCAGACUUGGUAUUUUGCAUGUUGCUCUCUCGGGGGCGGCCGCUGCGGUUUACCGGGCCAGCAUCGGUUUGGAGCGGCAGGAUAAUGGCGGAGGAAUGUGGCACGGCUUCUGCUGUGUGUUAUAGCCUCUGACGAUACUGCCAGCCUAGACCGAGGACUGCGGUUUUUACCUAGGAUGUUGG